AAAAGAAACUAAAUAGGAUUUCCAUAGUAACUGCGAGUGAACUGGAAUUAGCCCAUCACGAAAUCUAUAUUAUAAUAAUAAUAUCGAAAUGUCGUGUAUAGGUUUUAUUAUUAUUAAUAAAUUAUUAUUAAAUAAUUGUAUUUAAAUAUACAGCCACAGAAGGUGCCAGCCCUGUUAUUUAAUAAUAUUUAUUAAAUUUAUAAAACUUUAGAGUCGUGUUGCUUGGAAGUGCAGCACAAAGUUGGUGAUAAACAUCAUCUAAGGCUAAAUAUUCCUAUGAAUCCGAUAGCGAACAAGUACUGUGAAGGAAAAUUGCAAAGUACUCCGGAGAGAGAGUUAAAGAGGACGUGAAACCGAUACGAUGGAAGCAUACAGAGCCAGUUGCACUAUUAUUAAUAUUUUUUUAUUAAUAAUUUUAAGCAUGGGUAUAUUGAUUAUUAAUUAGUUAUUUAUUAAAGAGUGAUAAAAUUUUUUAAAUUUUGUUAACUUUAAUAAAAUAAUUAUAUUUAUAAUUAAUAUUAUAUAUUAUUAAUGUAUUAAUAAUAUUUUAAUUAUUAAUAUAAUAUAAAACACAUGUGUUAAAUAUUAUUUAUUAAUAAUUAUUAUAUUAUUAUAAAUUAAUAAACCUAUGUAAUCCUGGUAUGCUGUAUGUCCCGUCUUGAAACACGGACCAAGGAGUGUAUUACUAUGGCAAGUCAUUGAUAUUAUUAAUAUCAAAGGCAUAAUGAAAAUAA
rnacentral:rRNA from 1 species